rnacentral:rRNA from 1 species
AUACGGAGGAUCCGAGCGUUAUCCGGAUUUAUUGGGUUUAAAGGGUGCGCAGGCGGGAGAUUAAGUCGGCGGUGAAAUUUUUCAGCUCAACUGUAAAAGUGCCUUCGAUACUGGUUUCCUUGAGUGUGGUUGGAGUAGGCGGAAUUUGUGGGGGAGCGGGGAAAUGCUUAGAUAUCACGAGGAACUCCGAUUGCGCAGGCAGCUUACUAAACCACUACUGACGCUCAGGCACGAAGGCGUGGGGAUCAAACAGGAUUAGAUACCCUGGUAGUCCACGCAGUAAACGAUGAUUACUCGCUGUUUGCGAUACACAGUAAGCGGCUUAGCGAAAGCGUUAAGUAAUCCACCUGGGGAGUACGUUCGCAAGAAUGAAACUCAAAGGAAUUGACGGGG